rnacentral:rRNA from 1 species
UACGAGGGGGGCAAGCGUUGUUCGGAAUUACUGGGCGUAAAGGGUGCGUAGGUGGUUUGUUAAGUCUGCUGUGAAAUCCCCGGGCUCAACCUGGGAAUGGCAGUGGAUACUGGCAAGCUAGAGUGCGGUAGAGGGUAGUGGAAUUCCCGGUGUAGCAGUGAAAUGCGUAGAGAUCGGGAGGAACACCAGUGGCGAAGGCGGCUACCUGGACCAGCACUGACACUGAGGCACGAAAGCGUGGGGAGCAAACAGG